UAAUGGCUCACCAAGGCGACGAUCCCUAGCUGGUCUGAGAGGAUGAUCAGCCACACUGGAACUGAGACACGGUCCAGACUCCUACGGGAGGCAGCAGUGGGGAAUAUUGCACAAUGGGCGCAAGCCUGAUGCAGCCAUGCCGCGUGUGUGAAGAAGGCCUUCGGGUUGUAAAGCACUUUCAGUCGUGAGGAAGGUAGUGUAGUUAAUAGCUGCAUUAUUUGACGUUAGCGACAGAAGAAGCACCGGCUAACUCCGUGCCAGCAGCCGCGGUAAUACGGAGGGUGCGAGCGUUAAUCGGAAUUACUGGGCGUAAAGCGCAUGCAGGUUGGUUGUUAAGUCAGAUGUGAAAGCCCGGGGCUCAACCUCGGAAUAGCAUUUGAAACUGGCAGACUAGAGUACUGUAGAGGGGGGUAGAAUUUCAGGUGU
rnacentral:rRNA from 1 species